AUGGCGGGAGCCGACCCCGACCCCGACCCCGACCCCAACGCCCCGCGCCCCAGGACCGCCCGACACAUGCCCGAGGCCGCCCCCGGCAGCCGCUGCGCUCGGGCCGCCGGAGCCCCGGGGCGUCCUGGGGGGGGCGGGGCCGGGGGGCUGCGCUCGCGGACCGGGGCGGGCCCCCCGCAGCAGGUGUCGGCCGCCGCCUCAGUUUCCCCGCCGCGGCGCCCCACUGUCGGCAGGGCGGGGGCUCCCGGAGCCGACCCCCGCCCCGGGGCAGCAGCAGCUCGGGCCGCCGCGCGGGGCGCGUCCUUUGUCUGCUCCGCCGCCGCCGCCGCCGCCCGCGCCCCGCGCCCCGCGCCCCGCGCCCCGCUCCCCGGGCAGACAAAGCCGCGGCCGCCCGAGCCGGGGCCGCAGACGCGCCCGCGCCGCCCCCCGCCCGCCCGGCCCCGCCCCCCGCCGCACGCCCGCCCAUUGGCCCGCGGGGCCGCUCGGGGGCGGGGCCCGGGCGCGUCACGUGGGCCGGCGCGGGCGCCCAUUGGCCGGCGCGGCCGCCCGUCGCGGAGGGCGGGCCGUGCGCGCGGGGCCGGGCGCUGCCUGCGCGCUGGGGCCGCCCGCGGGGCCGGGCGCCUGUCAGAGGGAGGAGGCGAUGCGCGCGGCGGCGGCGGCCCGGGUGCGGGAGCGGGAGCGGGCGCGGGCGGGGCGGGCGCGGGCGCGGGUGCGGGUGCGGGCGCGGGGACGGCGGGAUGCCCGAGCGGCCGACGCCACGACCGCGUGAACGCACGGCGGAGCCCCGCGCGCCAUGAGGAGCCUGCCGAGCCUGCGCGCCGUCGCCCUGCUCUGCUGCGCCGCCGCCGCCGCCGCCGCCGCCUCCGUCUCGGCGGGGACCGUCCCGGCCGGCGGGGCCGCGGGGCAGGUGGACGCGGCGCGGGGCCCGGGGCCGGGGAGCCCGCUCGGCCGCCCCGCCUCCCCGCCGCCCCCGCCCCCGCCCCCCUCGCCCUCGCCCUCGCCCUCGCCCUCGCCGCACGCCCCGCGCGCCGCCGCGGCCCCCGCGGCCCCCGCGGACCCCGACCCGGACCCCGGCGCCGCGCCGCCCACGCCCCGGCCGCCGCCCCGCGCCCCGGCCCCGACCCCGGCCGCGACCCCGACCGCGACCCCGACCCCGGCCGCGACCCCGGCUCCGACCUCGGCCGCGACCCCGGCUCCGACCUCGGCUCCGACCCCGGCUCCAGCCCCGACCUCGGCCGCGACCCCGACUCCAGCCCCGGCCGCGACCCCGACUUCGGCUGCGACCCCGACCUCGGCCGCGACCCCGGCUCCGACCCCGACCCCGACCCCGACCGACCUCCCGCCCGCCGCCCCCGCCGCACCUGCCGCCGCGCCCCCAGGUGA
rnacentral:lncRNA from 1 species